rnacentral:rRNA from 1 species
UACGUAGGGGGCUAGCGUUGUCCGGAAUCAUUGGGCGUAAAGAGCGCGUAGGCGGCCAGAUAAGUCCGGUGUGAAAGUCACAGGCUCAACCUGUGAAUGCCGCUGGAAACUGUCUGGCUAGAGUCCGGUAGGGGCGAGUGGAAUUCCUGGUGUAGCGGUGAAAUGCGCAGAUAUCGGGAGGAACACCCAUGGCGAAGGCAGCAAGCUGGGCGACACCUGACGCUGAGGCGCGAAAGCGUGGGUAGCAAACAGG